GCCGGGCGCAGUGGCGUGUGCCUGUAAUCCCAGCUACUUGGGAGGCUGAGGCGGGAGGACUGCUUGAGCCCAGGAGUUCUGGGCUGUAGUGCACUAUGCCGAUUGGGUGUCCACACUAAGUUUGGCAUCAAUAUGGUGACCUCCCGGGAGCAGGGGACCACCAGGUUGCCUAAGGAGGGGUGAACUGGCCCAGGUCGGAAAUGGAGUAGGUCAAAACUCCCGUGCUGAUCAGUAGUGGGAUCCCACCUGUGAAUAGCCACUGCACUCCAGCCUGGGCAACAUAGCGAGACCCUGUCUCU
rnacentral:SRP_RNA from 1 species